UACGUAGGGUGCGAGCGUUAAUCGGAAUUACUGGGCGUAAAGCGUGCGCAGGCGGUUGUGCAAGACAGGUGUGAAAUCCCCGGGCUUAACCUGGGAACUGCACUUGUGACUGCACGGCUGGAGUGCGGCAGAGGGGGAUGGAAUUCCGCGUGUAGCAGUGAAAUGCGUAGAGAUGCGGAGGAACACCGAUGGCGAAGGCAGCCCCCUGGGCCAACACUGACGCUCAGGCACGAAAGCGUGGGGAGCAAACAGG
rnacentral:rRNA from 1 species